rnacentral:tmRNA from 1 species
GGGGAUGAAAGGAUUUCGACGGGGAUCAAUAAGCAUGAUAAGCGGGUAGAGGCGGAAAUCCUCUAUAAACUUUCCAACUUUAUAAAUUAGAUAACAACUCUAAUUCUGAACUGCAGGCUGCGUAAGCACCCUGCCGUUUCUGCCGGGAGUACUGCGGCCCGGUAUGAAGCGUCGUUUUAGCAGUGAACGUGAACAGGGGAGUGUUCCGGCCUCCGUCAUGCAUCAGGGACUACCGACGAUGACAGCCUGCUGACCGGCGGUCAUCCGGGGGAAUCGCAAUAGAUCAGAUACACCCGUAGAAAGUUGUGUGGAUGGGUCUUCGGACGUGGUUUCGAGUACCACCAUCUCCACCA